UACGUAGGGUGCAAGCGUUGUCCGGAAUUAUUGGGCGUAAAGAGCUUGUAGGCGGUUUGUCGCGUCUGCUGUGAAAUUUCGGGGCUCAACCCCGAACUUGCAGUGGGUACGGGCAGACUAGAGUGUGGUAGGGGAGACUGGAAUUCCUGGUGUAGCGGUGAAAUGCGCAGAUAUCAGGAGGAACACCGAUGGCGAAGGCAGGUCUCUGGGACGUAACUGACGCUGAGACGCGAAAGCGUGGGGAGCAAACAGG
rnacentral:rRNA from 1 species